rnacentral:sRNA from 1 species
CUUCCUCGAUCUGCUGCGGGCAAAUGAAAUGGAUAUGGCUGUCCAUGCCGCCCGCCGUGACGAUCUUGCCUUCCCCGGCAAUCGCUUCCGUGCCGGGGCCGACAAUGAUAUUGACGCCCGGCUGGGUAUCGGGAUUGCCCGCCUUGCCGAUGGCAACGAUCCGGCCAUCCUUCAAGCCGAUAUCGGCCUUGACGAUGCCCCAGUGAUCGACGAUCAGCGCAUUGGUUAUGACCGUAUCGACCGCGCCGUCCACGCGCGUCGCCUGGCUUUGCCCCAUGCCAUCGCGGAU